UUGUAAUCUAGAGAGGUGUUUUCCGUGCCGGACCGUGUACAAGUCCCUUGGAACAGGGCGUCAUAGAGGGUGAGAAUCCCGUCCAUGACACGGACUACCGGUGCUCUGUGAUACACCUUCAAAGAGUCGAGUUGUUUGGGAAUGCAGCUCAAAAUGGGUGGUAAAUUCCAUCUAAAGCUAAAUACAGGCGAGAGACCGAUAGCGAACAAGUACCGUGAGGGAAAGAUGAAAAGAACUUUGGAAAGAGAGUUAAACAGUACGUGAAAUUGUUGAAAGGGAAACGCUUGAAGUCAGUCGCGUCUGCCAGGACUCAGCCUUGCUUCUGCAUGGUGCAUUUCCUGGUGGAUGGGCCAGCAUCGAUUUUGGUCGCCGGACAAGGGCGGGAGGAAUGUGGCAGCUUGCUGUGUUAUAGCCUCCCGUCGUACACGGUGGUUGGGAUCGAGGACUGCAGCACGCCUUUGGUCGGGGUUCGCCCACGCCACGUGCUUAGGAUGCUGGCGUAAUGGCUUUAAGACGACCCGUCUUGAAACACGGACCAAGGAGUCUAACAUGCCUGCGAGUGUUUUGGGCGUUAAACCCAGGCGCGUAAUGAAAGUGAAAAGUUGGGACUCUUUUAGUGAGGCACCCGACGCCCGAUCCUGACGUUUCUCUGACGGAUUUUGAGGUAGAGCAUGUAUGUUGGGAACCCGAAAGAUGG
rnacentral:rRNA from 1 species